UACGGGGUAGGGCAAGCGUUGUUCGGAUUUACUGGGCGUAAAGGGCGCGUAGGCGGUCAGCACAAGUCAGUUGUGAAAUCUCCGGGCUUAACUCGGAAAGGUCAACUGAUACUGUGCGACUAGAGUGCAGAAGGGGCAACUGGAAUUCUCGGUGUAGCGGUGAAAUGCGCAGAUAUCAGGAGGAACACCGGUGGCGAAGGCGGGUCUCUGGGCCGAUACUGACGCUGAGGAGCGAAAGCGUGGGGAGCGAACAGG
rnacentral:rRNA from 1 species